rnacentral:misc_RNA from 1 species
AUUACGGGAAAGUGGAUGUAGGAUCAACAAAAACGCCAUUCAAAAUAGUGUCCUUCUGCUAGGAAGUUAUUCAAAGUAGAGUUCAUGCAACUGGGACGCCAAUAUAAAUGGCGUCUCUACCUCGGAUUCCUGCAGCUCGGUCACGUCAUCAGAGAGAUGUGAUGUGGAAUAACGAGCAAGUAUGGAAAUAGCGUCCAGAGUAUCCCACGCACACCGAAUCUCUGUUUGAACACUGGG